rnacentral:rRNA from 1 species
GAGUUUGAUUAUGGCUCAGGAUGAACGCUAGCGGGAGGCCUAACACAUGCAAGCCGAGCGGGAUUUGUUGGUUAGCUUGCUAACUAACAAUGAGAGCGGCGUACGGGUGCGUAACACGUGUGCAACCUGCCUUUAUCUGGGGGAUAGCCUUUCGAAAGGAAGAUUAAUACCCCAUAAUAUAUUGAUUGGCAUCAAUUGAUAUUGAAAGCUCCGGCGGAUAGAGAUGGGCACGCGUAAGAUUAGCUAGUUGGUGAGGUAACGGCUCACCAAGGCUGCGAUCUUUAGGGGGCCUGAGAGGGUGAUCCCCCACACUGGUACUGAGACACGGACCAGACUCCUACGGGAGGCAGCAGUGAGGAAUAUUGGACAAUGGGUGAGAGCCUGAUCCAGCCAUCCCGCGUGAAGGACUAAGGACCUAUGGUUUGUAAACUUCUUUUAUACAGGGAUAAAC